rnacentral:rRNA from 1 species
UCCUUCGAAGAGUCGAGUUGUUUGGGAAUGCAGCUCAAAAUGGGUAGUAAAUUUCAUCUAAAGCUAAAUAUUGGCGGGAGACCGAUAGCGCACAAGUAGAGUGAUCGAAAGAUGAAAAGCACUUUGAAAAGAGAGUUAAACAGUACGUGAAAUUGUUGAAAGGGAAGCGCUUGCAAUCAGACUCGCCUUCAGUUGAUCAGCCUUCCUUCUGGUUGGUGCACUCUGCUGUUGGCGGGCCAGCAUCAGUUGGGGCGGCGGGACAAAGGCGGCAGGAAUGUGGCUCGUUCGCGAGUGUUAUAGCCUGCUGUGUCAUGCCGCCAGCCCCGACUGAGGUCCGCGGUUCGCCUAGGAUGCUGGCUUAAUGGUUGU